rnacentral:rRNA from 1 species
GAUGAACGCUAGCGGCAGGCCUAACACAUGCAAGUCGAGGGGCAUCGCGGUGCAGCAAUGCACUGGCGGCGACCGGCGUACGGGUGCGUAACGCGUAUGCAACCUGCCCCGCACCGGGGGAUAGCCCGCCGAAAGGCGGAUUAAUACCCCAUGGUCCCGGGGGCCCGCAUGGGCAUCCGGGUAAAGCCUUGGCGGUGCGGGAUGGGCAUGCGUGCCAUUAGCUGGCUGGUGGGGUAACGGCCCACCAGGGCAACGAUGGCUAGGGGGUCUGAGAGGAUGGUCCCCCACACUGGUACUGAGACACGGACCAGACUCCUACGGGAGGCAGCAGUGAGGAAUAUUGGUCAAUGGGCGGAAGCCUGAACCAGCCAUGCCGCGUGCAGGAUGACGGCCCUACGGGUUGUAAACUGCUUUUCCCCGGGGCGAAUAACCCCCUCGCGAGGGGGAUGCCGGUACCGGGGAACUAAGGAUCGGCUAACGUCCGUGCCAGCAGCCGCGUAAAAGUCACGUCG